rnacentral:rRNA from 1 species
GUUGGUGAUUUAUCGUAGCAGUCACACCUCUUCCCAUUCCGAACAGAGAAGUUAAGCGCUACAGAGCCAAUGAUACUCUAUUUAUAGGGGAAAGUGGGCAAUCGCCAGCA